AGCAAGGAGGUCAAAAAGCAGUACCUUUUCUUCCCUCCCUUCUUAGUCUCGUGUUCUUGUAACAAACUAUUCUGGGUCUAGACUUGAAUUAUGCUGGGGAAGGAAUUUGUGUUCCAUAAGUUGUCUGUUUCUCUGCUUUUGUAAUUUACUUUUUUGGCGUUCCCCCCAGUUUCCUAGCAAAGUGCUUUUUGAACAAUCUCAGCCUUGUCUGGAUGCCUGAGAUUUGCCCACAUUUGGGCCAAGACAGCCAAGGGGUUCCAGGGCCCCAGGAAAUUUAGUAUGGUGGGGCCAGCAGCUGUCUCAGCUGGAUUUGCAGGAAACAGCUGGUGGAGCCAGGGCAGAGAGAGGUGAAAUCUCAAGAGAGGAAGAGAUUGAGAAAGAGAGAGAGAUGGGAGCAGCUGCAGUUGCUAAGCUCUUCCCCGCCUGGGUUCUUCCAUUUCAGAGGCCUGCCACCAGCUCCAGCUCUCCCCACCCUGGCUUUUCUCAAUAAGAAAUAAACAAGUUAAAGUAGUGAUGCCCCAGGGACUAGAAACAGUGAGCAUGGACAGUAUCUGAUGAGGAAUCAGAUGCAGGACUCUUACCUUAGAGCCUGGGUUGCUCACCUGGAAAGCUUAACCGCACCUGGGUUGUGAUUCAGUUGGAGGGGGAUUAUGCCCCAGACAUUAGACCAUGACUAUCUGGGGAUAAGGUCCAAUCAGGGAACAUGGCAUUCAACUGAAAUAGCAGGGAAUUGGAGGCAUUUGGGCUUCUCUUGUUAGUUUAGUAAACUGAGACUCUCUCAAAGAUUUCUGCAUGGCUCUGGCCUGAGCCUGAUAGGAGGCCCUCCUCCACCCGCUGCCUCCCUUACUCGAAAACAAGCCGCAUUUGGGAGCCUGGAAUCUCAGCAAGUAGAACAAUCGUUUGUGACUGCUACAUCCAUCACAGGCUGAGGUCCUGCAGCAGCCCAGACCGGAGGAGCCGCCACGGGCCCCGCUGCCUUCACCACAGCCUGCACUUUAUUAGAAUUUAUACGUUGCCCCCAUUGAGGGGGAAAAUAAUUAACACCCCUACAAAUAUAUCGUAAAC
rnacentral:lncRNA from 1 species